rnacentral:rRNA from 1 species
AAAAAUGGCUUCCAGCCAAGUUUGUUGAGGGAAGACAGCGGGAGAAGAAGGGAAGAGGGCGAUAAAAGCCGAAAAUAAAACCUCUCCUUCCCCUCCCCCUGUUCGUCGUUCUUCUCGGUUCGAUCCACUCGAGCAGCCCCAAAACCGGCCCGAUUCCUCCCCAAAUCCAAUCGACUCCCUGCCGAAAUCCGCCCUCCCACUGAUCGCCGCAAGCUCCCGGACCCGGAGCAAGCAAUUUCGCGCCGCAAGAACUGCUCGCCGUCCGUGGACAAAAGCCCUCGACCGACUCUCCCAACUUCUUUUCCUGUUCGUCCUGACCAUCGCCUUACGCGCCUCGCUGCCAUCGCCGUUGCAGUUCUUGCUCGUCUCGUCUGGACAUCCGCGUUCCUGCUAUCUGCACCCCGUCCGCGGCCUUUGGGUUUUGAGAUCCGCCCUUGAUGGCGGGGGAGGAGGCCGCGGAGGGAAGCGGGAACAGGAGGCGGAUGGAUCUAAACCUGUACCUGGGCCUCCCUCCAUUGCCGCGGCCUCCAGGUCGGCUGGGUGUAGCUAUGGAUUGCCCGCCGCCGGCCACCUCGGCCAUUCCGGUUCCGGAAUCUCCAAGAAUGGAUGAGCCUGCAGUACUACCGGCACCAGAGGAGAUGCCGCCACUGCCCGUUGUAUACUCGCCGUCCAAUGCGCUCUCCACGCCGGAGCUAUCGCUGAUAGAUCCGAUGCUAUUUGAUUGGCUUGAUGGCCUCAGUACGGACAGUGAAGAGGCUCUUGAUGCUGGUGAACCGGCUGUGGUGCGCGACGCGUCCUCACAUGAUGCCAAUGUCUCACCACCGCCGCCAGCGCCAUUGUCUCUUCCUGGGCUAGAAGGGGUUCGCCUUGAAUGGGUGGAAAGGCUUUCUCACCCUAUUCUGGUGACUCCUGCAGCCGGAGCAGAGAUGGUGAGCACGAGGGUGAUGAGGCAAUCUAUGGGGGCUGUGAAUGCAAUUGAAGACAUGACGCCUGAGCUCCGCCUGCAGAGGUUGAUCCAGGUGAGUGAACAGCACCGCAUUGUGCGGCCGGGGUCAGUGAACCGCAACCACCGGGCGACCAGCCCAGAAGCAGAAAGACUGGCGCAAGCCAUCCAGCGGUCUCAUAGCUCUCUAGAUGCAUCAAGGCGGCAGAAGCUCGAUGGUGAUGGCAAGAUGACAGGAAUUGGUGCUGUCAAGAAGGACGGGAACUGUGGGUGCAACUCCAGUUUCGAGUGCAAUAUCUGCCUUGAAGCGGCUAAAGAGCCCGUGGUUACACCGUGCGGCCACCUCUUCUGCUGGCCAUGCUUGUACCAGUGGCUCCAUGGACAUUCAGCCCACUCUGAGUGCCCUGUUUGCAAGGGAGAGGUGCUCGAAGUAAAUGUCACACCAAUAUAUGGAAGAGGAGGUGGUGAACGGGAUGCCUGCAGCAAUGAUGUUCCUCCCAGACCGCGCGCAAACAGGAGUGAGAGCUUGAGGCAGCAGCUGCAAAUGCCAGACCCAAGAGGCAUUGCAAGCAUGGUGAGACGGUUGAUAGAAAACCAGGAUAUAGUGAGAGGCCAGGCAGCUCCACCUGCAGGCGGGGUUGAGGUGACUGUACUUCCCGCAGCCCGGUCAAGGGCUAGGGUACGGAGACAGCAAAGACACAGUCUUGUUUCACCCUCCCCAAUAAUGCUGCGUGCAAGCAACGCAGCCCCUGAGAGUGGCAAUCAGGUCCGAUUGCCAUCUUCUAAUUCCGUUAAUGCUGCACCCGCAGUUACUCAGCAGUCGUCAUCCAUGGAGCAGGCAUCGACUUCUAGCACCCUGGCUGUUAUAGUGGGACAGGCAGCCCAAAGUAGGAGGUCCAGACCUUCGGAGUCCACAACCACAAGAAGAACAAGGAGGAGGCAGCAGCAGUAGGUAAAAGUGGUGCUGCCAUUUUCUCCAAUAAAACAUAUAUAGAUCAUGCUUUGUCUGUACCAUGUCAAGCUCCAAAAACAUAGUCAAGAUUAUAAGGUAGGAGUGUAUAUGCUAUUGCUUUGCUCAUGUAUACCUUUUUCAUGGAAAAGGAAUUAUUAGCAUGUAUGUGGGGAUAAAUUUCCCUGAUAUUGCAUCUGUUUAUUUUUCAGUGAAUUGUUAAUUGUUAUCUCUGUACUGUGUAUGCCAUUACGUUUCUUGGUACUACUUAGUUUAGAAAUUUGAAGAUAGUUAAUUUCCUCAGCUACAGCUUUUGUACUGUCAAGACUGAUGAAUGUAGCAACAAAUGCACCAUUGUUUUCUAUUUUAAGGUUUCCUCUUGUCUUAAUGACUUGAUCUAGUGUCCACAAAGAUUGGCAUCCAGAUCUUGGAUAAAUCUUUUUGUUUUUCCCAUGAUCUGAAAUGAUGGUCCAAUGUAAUUUGCAGUAUAAGUCACCGCGAAAAAAGAUGAAGAUAUUUUUCCUUUAAGCUCCUGCAAAACAUGAAAAGUUCUUCUGGAUUUGCCACCGCAGCCAGCUGUUUUGACAUUGUAUAAAGUGGAUAGUACACAAAUAGGUUGUCAAUGUUUGGAACAGGCAGCAGUACUCUACUUCUGUCCCAAACAAGCAACCAGCUGUCCAGUUUUAGUCGAGCAUCUCAUGGGGCACAUUGUCUGCCCCUGCAUAUCAAGAACCAGUCUCCCUCUGAGAAAAAAAAAGAACCAGCAUCGUUUUGCUGCAAACUGAAAGAUGACCAAAUUUGUUUGAACAGAUGAACAUUUGCUAUUUACAUUUCAGGAUUGUCAUUUGAUUACACCGAACAACAGGAAACACUAGAGUAUAUCACAGAUAUUCCGUGAGGUCCGAAAGUAUCACCAUUGGCAGUUCUGGAGAUCAAGAUGGUUGGAUGGGUCAGCGUCAAAAAGAGUUCAUAGAAUUCACCAGCUUCUCAAACCUUGUCCAUGUGCAAACCUCUGCAAGAAUGUCAGACUGCUCCUGGAUAUGCACAUGAAUACAUGAUUGCUCAUUUUCUGACCAGCAUCUGGGAACAAAGUAGCAAUAGAGAGCUACAAAUACUGUUAUGGGUAGUACAAUAUCUUCAGUACGUGUAACAUGUCUAUCUAGUCUCGCCGUAACUGUAAAAUGCUGAGUUUGUAAUUUUUCUUGGACGUGUUUGUCCAGCGACUGGUGUAAUUUCCCUUGGACCCUUCUAGUCUAGUUUUAAGUGAAAUGCAGAUCUCCUGCAAUGUUUACAGAAACAAAAUCAAAAUGGCAAUAAAAAAAACUUUACAUUCUAUCAAAAGACUCGUUGACCUAGCUGAUUGUUUUAUGCAACUCAUACACAAAGGAAACACCAGUUUCGAUAUUUUGACCAUGAAAGUUUUGGACAAGCUGCUUGGAUACCAAAAGAAAGGUGCACUUCAUCAAUUGGAUUGUGCACAUGUUCAUGUACCACUUCCACAGUCAAAUGACGAUUGAAUGCAUUGCGUGCAGAAGAAAUGGCUCAACUUAGCACUGAUGUUUCCUUUUCAUCCUAAUCCUUCAAAGCCCCAGCAGUUGGUUACUGCAUGGACAGUAUCAUGUCUUGUACUGUUCAAUCAGUCUCAGAAGGCUAUGUGUCUCGGCGUCAGGCAUUGCACCUCUUAAAAUCAUCGUCUUUACAAAAUCUG